ACUCCUACGGGAGGCAGCAGUAGGGGAAUCUUCCACAAUGGGCGCAAGCCUGAUGGAGCAACACCGCGUGAGUGAAGAAGGGUUUCGGCUCGUAAAGCUCUGUUGUUAAAGAAGAACACGUAUGAGAGUAACUGCUCAUACGUUGACGGUAUUUAACCAGAAAGUCACGGCUAACUACGUGCCAGCAGCCGCGGUAAUACGUAGGUGGCAAGCGUUAUCCGGAUUUAUUGGGCGUAAAGAGAGUGCAGGCGGUUUUCUAAGUCUGAUGUGAAAGCCUUCGGCUUAACCGGAGAAGUGCAUCGGAAACUGGAUAACUUGAGUGCAGAAGAGGGUAGUGGAACUCCAUGUGUAGCGGUGGAAUGCGUAGAUAUAUGGAAGAACACCAGUGGCGAAGGCGGCUACCUGGUCUGCAACUGACGCUGAGACUCGAAAGCAUGGGUAGCGAACAGGAUUAGAUACCCUGGUAGGAUAGCG
rnacentral:rRNA from 1 species